rnacentral:rRNA from 1 species
AGGACGAACGCUGGCGGCGUGCUUAACACAUGCAAGUCGAGCGGAAAGGCCCUUCGGGGUACUCGAGCGGCGAACGGGUGAGUAACACGUGAGUAAUCUGCCCCUAGCUCUGGGAUAGCUCCGGGAAAACCGGGAUUAAUACCAGAUACGACCACUUUAGACAUCUGCUGUGGUGGAAAGAAUUUCGGCUAGGGAUGAGCUCGCGGCCUAUCAGCUUGUUGGUGAGGUAACGGCUCACCAAAGGCGACGACGGGUAG